UGAUCCUGGCUCAGGAUGAACGCUGGCGGCGCGCCUAACACAUGCAAGUCGAACGGCACCCGCCCUCGGGCGGAAGCGAGUGGCGAACGGCUGAGUAACACGUGGAGAACCUGCCCCCCUCCCGGGGAUAGCCGCCGGAAACGGCGGGUAACACCCGAUGACCCCGCACCCGGGCAUCCGGGAGCGGGCAAAACCCAGGUGGAGGGGGAUGGCUCCGCGGCCCAUCAGGUAGACGGCGGGGUGACGGCCCACCGUGCCGACAACGGGUAGCC
rnacentral:rRNA from 1 species